rnacentral:rRNA from 1 species
CAGCCGCCGCGGUAAUACGAAGGGUGCAAGCGUUAAUCGGAAUUACUGGGCGUAAAGCAUGCGUAGGUGGUGGUUUAAGUCCGUUGUGAAAGCCCUGGGCUCAACCUGGGAAUUGCAGUGGAUACUGGGUCACUAGAGUGUGGUAGAGGAUAGUGGAAUUUCCGGUGUAGCAGUGAAAUGCGUAGAGAUCGGAAGGAACAUCUGUGGCGAAGGCGACUAUCUGGGCCAACACUGACACUGAGGCACGAAAGCGUGGGGAGCAAACAGGAUUAGAUACCCCCGUAGUCCCUGUCUCUUAUAA